rnacentral:rRNA from 1 species
AUUGAACGCUGGCGGCAGGCUUAACACAUGCAAGUAGAGCGAGCGGCGGACGGGUGAGUAAUGUCUGGGAAACUGCCUGAUGGAGGGGGAUAAAUACUGGAAACGGUAGCUAAUACCGCAUACCAUCAGAUGUGCCCAGAUGGGAUUAGCUGGUAGGUGGGGUAAUGGCUCACCUAGGCGACGAUCCCUAGCUGGUCUGAGAGGAUGACCAGCCACACGGGAACUGGGACACGGUCCAGACUCUGACGGGAGGAAGAAGUGGGGAAUAUUGCACAAUGGGCGCAAGCCUUAUGCAGCCAUGCCGCGUGUGGGAAGAAUGCCUUCGGGUUUUAAAGCACUUUCAGCGAGGAGGCGUUACUCGCAGAAGAAGCACCGGCUAACUCCGUGCCAGCAGCCGCGGUAAUUC